CGUAUUGACGUUCAUAAAUCGAAGCGGCUCUUAUGGAAAAUAUAAUAAAAAUCGCUGAUAGUAAAGUAAAUCGCGUCAAUUAUCAAAUAAUAUCGCUAGCUUAAUAUCUGACGAAUAUUUCUAACAUGGCUAGGCUGAAGAAACAUGCGGCAAUCCACGAUAAACAUGGGAAUAAUAAUGAGACAAGUAGCAGUUCGGCAAGCAGUGAGGCUUCAGAUAAAAAAAAGUCUUUUAAGUUCUUUUCUGGAUGGAAGACUGCUGUAGGAGUUAUCUGCUUGUUAGUAGCCAUCUAUGUCGGGACCCUAGGGUACCUGGAAACUCGAGUUAACACCCCAUUUGACGAUGAAAAGGUAGUCCAGGAAUCAGGGCUGAUGGUCCCGGACAGGUACUGGGGAUCGUACCGUCCCGGGGUCUACAUGGGCAUGAAGAGCCGGGAGCCACGGUCGCCCGUGUUCGGCCUCAUGUGGUAUGACUUCACCACCAACAACGGAGUCAGACACUGGUGUGAUCAGAACGACAACCUACCCUCAUACGGGUGGCUGCGGCAUGAUGGCGUCACAUUCGGGGAGCAGAAGAUAGAGGACCCUCCUCAUACGAUCGUGACCUCUUUUGUGAAGACCCCCGGAGGCGACCACGGAGGCCAUUGGACUGUCAGAGUCAAUGUCACUGCUAAGGGUGACAUCAAAAAGCCGUUAAUGCUAGUGUGGUACGGGGCUCUGGACGAGUCCCUGGGGCCGGCGGCGCCGCAGUCUCGGCUGUGGGCCGAGGGCGGAGCGCUACUCGGACACACGCCGCAGCUGCUCAACUUCAGAUUGAAUCUUGUGCCGCUUACAGGCAAGAUAAUCCACCGAUCGUUCUCGGAGGCGCACGCGCCGGGCCUCCACCUACUUAAGGAGAAGUUCAUAUCACUGCUUAAGGCGGAGCGACAUCCCAAGUAUGGUCGUCUGCCUGUACUGGCGCCUGAUGACGAGUUGAAUGAAAAGGACAAAGAAGUUAACUUCGUCUCGAUACAGCUGUUCGUGGAACCCCCAUUCGUUCUGGACGUUGUAUACACGACGGAAGACCUGCCUACUCCGCCAGUGAAAGGGGAUGAGUAUACCAUGGUGUUGGAAGCGAAGAAGAGGUCUUUCGACCAGGAGUUUGAAGAUAAAUUCGGGCUGGCAGCGAAGGGCUACUCACAAGACGACGUGGCGAUAGCGAAGGCGGCCAUGUCAAACAUGAUAGGCGGCAUCGGCUACUUCUACGGGGCGGGCAGGGUGCGGUCGCAGUACACCAGGGAACCAGUGCCUUACUGGCGCGCGCCUCUCUACACGGCCGUGCCUAGCAGAUCAUUCUUCCCCCGCGGCUUCUUAUGGGACGAGGGCUUCCACGGGCUGCUGAUAGGGCGGUGGAGCGCGCACAUCCAGCUGGACAUCGCGGCGCACUGGCUGGACCUCAUCAACGUCGAGGGUUGGAUCCCGCGCGAGCAGAUUCUCGGGGCGGAGGCGCUGGCGAGGGUGCCCAAGGAGUUCGUGGUGCAGAGCAACGCGGCCGCCAACCCGCCGAUGCUGCUGGUGCAGCUGGCGCGGCUGGUGCGCGCGCGGCCGCAGCUGUUCGAGCCGUACUCGCCGCACCGCGCCACCCUCGACAGGAUGUUCACCAGGCUCCAGGCCUGGUACCAGUGGUUCCAGUCGUCGCAGAAGGGAGAGGAGCCCACAUCGUACCGCUGGCGGGGCCGCGAGGACGACGGCGUGCAGCUGAACCCUAAGAGCUUGAGUUCUGGACUCGAUGACUAUCCCAGAGCGUCGCACCCCUCGUACAUAGAGCGGCACGUCGACCUCAGGUGCUGGAUGUACGCGGCGGCCGACGCCAUGGCGACAAUAGCUGAUGUCCUACAGCGGGACCCCAUCAAGUUUGAAGUGCUACGCGACCAGUUGGCAGACGAAGACUUACUCAACGAGCUGCACUGGUCACCCACCACAGAAACUUAUGCUGAUUAUGGACUACAUACAGACGCGGUAAGGCUGGUGAGGCAGCCGCCGAAGAACCCAAAUGAACCAGCCAAGGUGGUGCGCAGUGUCAGCAUGCCCCCAGAGCCGAGGCUCGUCACCUCUGCUUUUGGCUACGUGUCCCUCUUCCCGGUACUGCUGAAGGUCCUCAAGCCCAGUAGCGAGAAGCUCGGCAAGAUAUUAGCCACGCUGGACAAACCCGACCUCCUCUGGUCACCGUAUGGACUUAGGUCCCUAUCAAAGUCGUCGCCACUUUACAUGAAGCGGAACACGAAAGACGACCCGCCAUACUGGCGCGGGCAGGUCUGGAUAAACAUCAACUAUCUCGCUCUAUCCGCACUGAGACACUACGCCGGCCAGGAGGGGCCGCACGCUGUCAGAGCGGGACAGCUGCACGAUAGACUGAGAGAAAAUGUUGUCAAUAAUAUUCUCAACGAGUACAAGCGCACGGGGUACUUCUGGGAACAGUACUCUGGCGAGGACGGGAAAGGUUCCGGCUGCCGGCCCUUCACGGGGUGGACAGCGCUCGUCACGCUGAUAAUGGCUGAGGAGUACUGAACUCCUAUAGAGCUAUGCUCGCCUGGUACUUCCAGUGGCGUGCCGUCCCCGGGAAUGUUCCCACAGUGGGAGUGUUCCCAAAGUGGGAGUGUUCCCAAAGUGGGAGUGUUCCCAAAGUGGGAGUGUUCCCAAAGUGGGAGUGUUCCCAAAGUGGGAGUGUUCCCAAAGUGGGAGGGUUCCCAAAGUGGGAGUGUUCCCAAAGUGGGUGUUCCCAAAGUGGUAGUGUUCCCAAAGUGGGAGUGGUCCCAAAGUGGGAAUGUUCCCAAAGUGGGAAUGUUCUCAAAGUUGUAAAAACUCUUUAAUAGUAAGGCUACUUGACUGCUCUUCAUUUUCAAAUUGUUCUUUCUUGUACUCUGGUCUUAUCUUGAAUUCUAUUAUUGAUAUCACGCGGUCUCUAAGAAUUGUGAUCUCCUUCUUCUUCUUAUCGUGUCGAUGGCAAACUAAAUUGUAUUGUAUCUCCUAUUAACUUUAAAUUCGAUGAGAUUGUCAUGUAAUGUUUACUAUAGAAUUGUUACUAACACGUUGUGGGAGACAUUGCACAUGCAUAGGUCCUUUUUGACCACAUCCGCUCAUCUUGUUUACUCAGUGUCCUAAAAUAAAAGAGUUUUUAAAAAAGGAACAUUCUCACUUUGAGUACGUUCCCAAGUACGGCACAUUGCUGGGAAGUUAAAAUGGCCACAUCGAAGCAAUUCAUCUAAGAAAGCGAUAUUGCAAUUUGACAUUUGCGCAUAUAAAAGUAACUGCGCAAUGCACACAAAUGUCAAAUAGCAAUAUUCUAAGAUGAAUUGCUUCGACGUGGCUAUUUUAACCCCCCCAGAUCUUAAAUGGUAGUGCUAGUUUUUAUGAGUAAUUAUCUGAUACUUAUCUAGAUAAGGUUAACAGACAGUUUAUCAGCAAUUAAAGUAACGAAAUUUACCUUAAGUGUAGAAAUAAUGUGGAGCCUCGUAUCCACUUGGCAACAAUUCGCAACAUUUACGGCAACGUUGCACAACAGCGCGCGACGUUGCCAGCUCAAGCGCGACGUUGCCAGCUCAAGCGCGACGUUGCCAGCUCGAGCGCGACGUUGCCAGCUAGAGCGCGACGUUGCCAGCUCGAGCGCGACGUUGCCAGCUCGAGCGCGACGUUGCCAGCUAGAGCGCGACGUUGCCAGCUCGAGCGCGACGUUGCCAGCUCGAGCGCGACGUUGCCAGCUCGAGCGCAACAUGUUGCGCGGCUUGUUGUUUGUUUAGCGAACAUCGUUAGUUGAGCAUCAAUGGGGAAUGGAUGAAAAAAUUAAAAAGUACUUGAAUAUUUUUCUAUGAGUAGGAAUAACCCUUUUCAUAAAAAUGUUUCAGAUUUAUCGGUUGCGUCAAAUUGUUAUAAAAAAUUAAAACGUUUUUUUCCCGCCAUUAGGUCUAUAGUAAUAGAUAUUUCUGAAUUUGAAUUUAAAUUGUAGCGGACCCAACUAGUUGGCCACCUAGUUCCAGAUGGCGCCACAUUCAAUAAUGCAGACUUCAAGCAGUCGUGAAACGCGAUAUCGAAGUUUACACAGCCAGACGCAUAUAUACAACUUCCAACAUAACACCGUUGGAUCGUCGAUCCCUAGUCACACUACCAACUUGUGGCUAGCGGGGUACCAUGCUCAGUUCGGUACCCCGAAAACAUCCUUUGGCGGCAGCACACCUUCGCCUCUAAAAAAUAUUCAAUAAAGCAAGCAACUGUCCCGUUCCCCUUCCCACCAAAAAGCCACUAAAGUUAUGUUUAUAAUAUGUCACUGUCAGUUGUCAAUGAGCCUUUUUUUAAGUGACAGCCUAUGGACAUCUUUCAUACAGAGUUACAGACGUAGUAACAGGCCUAAUGACGGGAAAAAACAUUUUAUUUUUGUAUGACGAUUCGACGUAACUGAAAAAUCUGAAACAUUAUUAUGUUCAUGAAAAAAGUUAUUCCUACACAUAGAGAAAUAUUCAAAUACUUUUAAUUUUUUCAUCCAUUUUUCAUUGUUGUUGAGUGGAGAUGUAACGCGCAAAAACACUAGAUCUAUAGUAUAGCGACAUGUUGUCGACGACAGACGUGUAUUAGAUGCGCAGACAGACAGCGUUGUUAAACAAAAAUUCCGCGCUAAAAUGUUGCGCAAAAUGUUGAAACGCGGACUAAUACUUACACGCAACAAAGCUCAAUUGUUCAAAUAUAUGUAAAUAUUACAAUUAUUUUGUAGAUUUUACUUUUCACAUAUGGGCUGUGGUCUAUAUAUUUAGUAGAAAACUUAAUGAACAGGGUGUUAGUGACAUUAUAACGAAAAUUUUGACGGAUGAUUCACACCAUGAUUCUGAGUUGACAUCAAGUGGAAUUUUCCGUCGCAAAAUUAGAUUUGAAAAAAUCAUGAAUUGAAAAAAACCACUUGAUGUCAACUCGGAAUCAUGGUCAGAAUCAUCCCCCUCAGUAUUCGUUACGAUGUCACUAACACCCUGUAUGAUAAUGUAAUAUAGUGUUAGAGUGCUCGCCAUUAGAGGGUUUUAAUUUAAUUUAUUAUUAUUUAACGCCAUCUAUAUUCUUUGGUUGGUUUGGACACGUAGAGCGGAUGAAGGAUAAUAGAAUUGCAAAAGCGGUAUAUAAAGCGAAAGUUGAUGGAAGGGCUGGCAGAGGAAGACCGAGAAGGACUUACGAUGACCAAAUUGGAGAUGUCCUUAGAAAAGGUUCAAUACGAUCUACUCUGAACCGGCGUGCGUGUAUGAAGCGAUUGAUGAAUGUGGAGGAAGCAAGAGAAGUGUGUCAGGAUCGAAGCAAAUGGAAUUCUAUAGUCUCUGCUUACCCCGGUGGGAAAUAGGCGUGAGUUUAUGUAUGUAUGUAUGUAUGUAUAUUCUUUGGUGAACAAAGCCUGGAAAGUCCAUCAUUCGGUUUAUUUUAAUGUAUUUUUUAAAGGGUUUUACGCGUAGCCUUUUAAGCCUCUCAUUUUUUUUAUUAUAAAAUCCGACAUUAUCUAAUAGUUCAUUGAAAAAAAUGGCCCGAAGGUCUAUGUAACCAGGCCAGAAAAUUCCAAAAAAAAAUCCAUUGAUAAAAAUGUCCUUCUCAAGGACCAAGUGAGCAUUUUCAAAAAUAAGUGUACCUCCCAUUUUCACGUUGUCCCUUGUGUUUGAAGUCUAAUAACUAGUAAAAUUUACUUCUAGCUAAUUAUUUUAAUUAUUGAGAUACAUUAAAUAUAUUCUAAACUAAUUAAAUUCUAACAAAAUCUUCAUGGUUAUGAGGAAUUAUUUAAAUAAAAUGUAAAUUUUUAUCACUAAGUACUAGAUUUUGCCGUGUCCCCCACUCAAACUGAUAAAUGUUUGAAGAGAUUCUUAAAACUUUUUGUACUAGGGUAUCAUUUGAUGUUUGGUAUUGGUUGAAGUUUUCUAAAGGUUCUCUCAUUUCCAGUAGUUUAUAAUUUAAAUCUUGUGCUUAUUUAAAUAUAGUUCAAUUUUUUCAAAAGUCUUAAAAAGUGUACCGACCGGACAUGUCGGGUUUGUCACGACUAAAACUGCCUAUUGAAAUUAUUUACGGUAGCUAUUUUCGUUUUAAAAUGGCAAAAUUAUCCUUAAUUUACUGGUCGCCAUUUAAAAAAAGACUAGUGACAAAAUAUAUUUCGUGACGCGAGACGUGUUUUCUGGUAUUCCACGGCCGUCAAAAUUUUAUCUGUCGGGUUUGAGACGAUAUAAAAUCAGAUUCAGGCUUAACAAUGCCACUAACUAGUGCAGAACGGUCUCGGAGAUAUAGAGAAAAAAUUAAAAAAGAAAAUCCCGAGAAAUUAAACGCCCAAAGGUUAAAAAAUUUACAAAGAAUAAAAUCGAAGAAGAAAAAAAUAUCUGAAAUGAAUGAAGAAGAAGCUGAAAAAAGAAGACAAGUUUGUUAUUUGUUAAACUAAGUAAUCUUGAUUUUCAAAAAGACUGUUCCCAUUAAGAAUUGAUAAUUAUUUGGCUAAAAACUUAAAAUUUGUGUAAGUAUAUCUUUUAUUUUAUUCACUUACAUUUUUGGGUUCGGUUUUCUCCUGUGUGAGCCCACCCUUAGAAAAAUUCGUAUGUCAGUUUUGCGAUAGUCCCUCAUUUUGCGACAAAGAAAUUCUUAGAUUUUUCUAAUUUUCAAUAUGGAGAGUUGCUAAUAAUUUCUAUUAUUUAUUAAAAUGAUUUUAAUAUUCGGUAUCACAAUAAUUACUUUGUUUAUUAAACUAAUAUUCGAAAUUAAAUCGUAAAUAUAAUGGUUGCCUUGGUAUCAGCUGUGACAAAACCGAACGAAAAACUAGCAUAUUUCGUGUUUUAUAGAUUUUAUGACUAUGUAUAUAUUUUUUUCAUAAAAUAUCUUUGGUAAUCUUCAUAACACAACUAAAAUCAUAUUUACAUCUUUCUUAUAGUUACAGACCAAUUAUUUUUUAAGAUAGUCGCAAAACUGACAUUUUUUUCGCCCGUCGCCCUAUAAUUUAAUAAUUUUUCGUAAAAAAGAUUAAUCUGUUAACAACUUCACAUAAUUUCAUAAACUAUCGCGUAUCUUAAUAAUAUCUAAAUCAAAAUAUCUCCAACAAUGUCAUAUUUUUAAUUAUAGCUAAAAUUCAGACGUGGUACACUUAAUUUUGAAAACGCUCAAGUAUUGUCCUUCUAAGUGGUGGGUUGCCUUAAUAAUUCUAAUGUUGCUAGCGUUAAAUUCCCUAUUUCUAGGUUGUGUAUUUAGUGUCAAUAAAUUUAAACAUCUCUAUAGCGUUAUCAUGUUUUCACAGGGUCCGCUUACCUAACCUGAACUAGUAACCAGGACCAACGGCUUCUUAUGAAGCACGGAUCAUCUUAUUUCGGACAAUCGGGUGAUCGAAUGUCCUAUCCAAAUUUAUGAUUAUGCCCACAAGGAUUCGAACCUGGGAUCUAAAGAUCGUGAGCCCAACACUCAACCACUGAACCACGAAAGUCGUUAAUAACUAAAUCAAGCGUUAUCCCGUUUUCACAGGAUCCGCUUACCUAGCCUGAAGUUUUGACAGGUCCGCUUUUUUACAGAAGCGACUGUCUGUCUAACUUUCUAACCCGCGAAGGGAAAACCAGCCCAAUACAGGUAGGUCAGGUAGGUAGGUAGGUCACAUACCUCCGAAAAGCAUUCCUCGGGAGUGUGGGUUUCCGGCGCAAAAGUAUGGAAUUUAAAUUUUUUAAAAAAGUAACAUUUUAAUGAUCUUUGCGACGGAAAUUUCACUUGAUAUUAGCUCAGAAUCAAGGUUUGAAGCAUCCCCCUCAGGUUUCGUCGCUGUAUAGGCUAUUUGUGUAUGUUUUUAUCUAUGUAGUUAUAUAUCAAACAACUGUUGAGCAUUUAUUUAUAAUAAUUAACUUAAUACAAUGUACAUAAACAAUAGUUAUAUUCCAGUACAGACUUUAUUUUAAGUUAUACCUGUCACUUUCUUAUCCGCCAAAAAGGAAAGGGACGGAUCUGCAGGAAUCAUGGCCAAUUUCUUGUUAAUAAAAUGACAAUUGAAAUAUUA
rnacentral:misc_RNA from 1 species